UACGGAGGAUGCAAGCGUUAUCCGGAUUUAUUGGGUUUAAAGGGUGCGCAGGUUGUUUGAUAAGUCAGUGGUCAAAGUCUGUCGCUUAACGGUAGGAUUGCCAUUGAUACUGUUGGACUUGAAUAUGGAUGAGGUAGGCGGAAUGUGUAGUGUAGCGGUGAAAUGCAUAGAUAUUACACAGAACACCGAUUGCGAAGGCAGCUUACUAAUCCAUCAUUGACGCUGAGGCACGAAAGCGUGGGGAUCAAACAGGA
rnacentral:rRNA from 1 species